rnacentral:rRNA from 1 species
CAGUCGCCACGGGAAUACGUAGGUGGCAAGCGUUGUCCGGAAUUAUUGGGCGUAAAGCGCGCGCAGGUGGUUUAAUAAGUCUGAUGUGAAAGCCCACGGCUCAACCGUGGAGGGUCAUUGGAAACUGUUAAACUUGAGUGCAGGAGAGAAAAGUGGAAUUCCUAGUGUAGCGGUGAAAUGCGUAGAGAUUAGGAGGAACACCAGUGGCGAAGGCGGCUUUUUGGCCUGUAACUGACACUGAGGUGCGAAAGCGUGGGGAGCAAACAGGAUUAGAUACCCCAGUAGUCCCUGUCUCUUAUAC